GAUGAACGCUGGCGGCGUGCCUAAUACAUGCAAGUCGAGCGAACGGACGAGAAGCUUGCUUCUCUAAUGUUAGCGGCGGACGGGUGAGUAACACGUGGAUAACCUACCUAUAAGACUGGGAUAACUUCGGGAAACCGUAGCUAAUACCGGAUAAUAUUUUGAACCGCAUGGUUCAAAAGUGAAAGACGGUCUUGCUGUCACUUAUAGAUGGAUCCGCGCUGCAUUAGCUAGUUGGUAAGGUAACGGCUUACCAAGGCAACGAUGCAUAGCCGACCUGAGAGGGUGAUCGGCCACACUGGAACUGAGACACGGUCCAGACUCCUACGGGAGGCAGCAGUAGGGAAUCUUCCGCAAUGGGCGAAAGCCUGACGGAGCAACGCCGCGUGAGUGAUGAAGGUCUUCGGGUCGUAAAACUCUGUUAUUAGGGAAGAACAUAUGUGUAAGUAACUGUGCACAUCUUGACGGUACCUAAUCAGAAAGCCACGGCUAACUACGUG
rnacentral:rRNA from 1 species